CCUACGGGUGGCAGCAGUGAGGAAUAUUGGUCAAUGGACGCGAGUCUGAACCAGCCAAGUAGCGUGAAGGAUGACUGCCCUACGGGUUGUAAACUUCUUUUAUAUGGGAAUAAAAUGUUACACGUGUGGGAUUUUGUAUGUACUUUAUGAAUAAGGAUCGGCUAACUCCGUGCCAGCAGCCGCGGUAAUACGGAGGAUCCGAGCGUUAUCCGGAUUUAUUGGGUUUAACGGGAGCGUAGGUGGGUUGUUAAGUCAGUUGUGAAAGUUUGCGGCUCAACCGUAAAAUUGCAGUUGAAACUGGCAGUCUUGAGUACAGUAGAGGUGGGCGGAAUUCGUGGUGUAGCGGUGAAAUGCUUAGAUAUCACGAAGAACUCCGAUUGCGAAGGCAGCUUACUAGACUGCCACUGACACUGAGGCUCGAAAGUGUGGGUAUCAAACAGGAUUAGAUACCCCUGUAGUC
rnacentral:rRNA from 1 species